CUCAAUCCACUGAGCUACACCAGCCAGGGCCAGGGCCACUAAAUAUAAAAUUAUAUUAUCAUAUUUACCUGCUCACAAAUAUGUUGUUUGAAAUGCAGACUAAGUGAAUGACAGAACAGGCACUGGAAGUGGGGACUUGACGUCCCUUUGGUUUCAAGACAGACUUUUCAUCCCAACUUCUCUCUAAAGUACCUUCAGUCUAUACACACUGUUGUGGAGUGCAUUUGAGGAAGAGAAGGGAAGGGAAGGGAAGGGAAGGGAAGGGAGAAGGAGGAAGGAAAGAAGGAAAGAAGGAAGGGGGAAGUCAGGAAGUUAAAGCCCCAGUUGUCCCAUUUGAAGGCCUACUAGGUUCCUAUGGGGCACAGCUGUUGUAAGUACAUUAAGAUUUUAUAAGUAUCGUGCAGGGAGAUACUUCACAGGCUGAUUCAUUUUUUUUAAGCAAGAAGUGUCCAGGACAGUUCCUACAGUAGCCCUCAAUAGAGGGGUUGGACCUGAGGGGAAGGGGCUCAGGGGAAUGACAGAGAAUUGGUUUGAAUUACGAUCUUCUCUGGGAUUUUUGAAAUGAGAAGGACAGGCUCUGCCCUCAAGUGAUUGAUGCUGAAGAUCCCUCGAUUUAAAUCCACCAGCCCAAAUAUCUGCUUUAACAUCCAGGGACAGUUUCUACAACCUCUUUUAGUGGCUGUUUUCUGAGUGUGAGGACUUUGUGUACCUCCUUCCCCUUCCCCUCUCCCCCCCAAAGACAACUCCAAACCCUGGAACUCUUGAGCUUUCACAGUAAGGACAGAUUUAGGCUGAAAAGCAUCAGUUAAGAAAACUAAACCAUAGGCAUCAUCAAACUUCUUCUGAAAGACACAUUUUAUUUCUCAUUCUUGUUUGGCUUACAGUAUUUUUAUUUUACCCUUUUUUACUCACCCAUCCUGUAACCAAACCCUAAACUCAAUUUUGAGGACUAUCUAGAGAGAAUCCUUGUGGAAUUUCCACAGGGAAUUCCCUCUGGAACUCAACACACUCCCACACAUCCACCAAUUUGCUGGCAUGUGCAGAGGGAAUGCACAGCGAUCUUAACAUAAUUCACUCUAAAACAGUUAACAAGACAAAUCUAAUAAGGAAAACAAUAAUGUGGAACAUUCCAAAGUGAGAGGCCAAUUCUGUGCCACUUCCUUGCUUCUCAUGCAGAUAAUCUGAGAAUCGAGGUCUGUGAAUCACCUCCCCCCACCCACACCCCUCCCUGACAGAGGGCCCUCCCCAAAACAGGAUGAGAACACUUCUUCAGUUUUUCCUUCCAGUAUUUUUUCAGGAAAAGGGAGUUCACUGUCCUACUGGCUCAUGAAGCCACCUGCUGUUCUUCAUCUCCAGGGUGGGCUCAGCUCUGGGGACACAGAGGCAGCCCUGUCCACACCUGGCUCUGAGAUGCUUUGCUCAGCUCAUAUGUAGCAGCUCCCGGAGUGUUUCACUUGGCUCAUAAAAGUUGGCAGAGGCCCAGGGUGCAAAAGCCCAAGCCCCAGGAUUGAGGAGCAGCCUUGGGAAGCAGGAGGGUGAGCCUCAGCUUUCUGGCUCAGUCAUACUCAGGUUCAGGUGGCCUGGAGGACAUGUAGCUGGGUCACUGUCUCCAACAUCAGUGUUCCAUCUACAUGGAUCCUUAGAGGCAUAGCACUUGUCCAUUUGUGUGAGCCAGCCAAAAGGUAACAUCUACUCAAAACAGAACUACAGAAUAUUGGAGCUGGAAAGAGACCUCUAAGAUGACAGAGUCAAUCUCUGCACCCCUUGUUACAGUAGAGGAACGUGAGACCUACUGAGGCCAUGCCCAGAGUCACGCUGGGAGAGACAGAGCUGGGCACUCUCUCAGAUGUUCCAAGUCCAAGACAAGCAUUCUACCAGAGUCCCUUGCCCCUCCUCACAAAUGCAAACUAAGCCUGCCAUGACUGUCUUCUCAUAAUUAUUUAUUAUCAGGAUUAUGGAUGGCCAGCAACAUUAACAGGUUGGAUAUAAAUGUGUUUAUGUGUUUUGAAUAGAUAUAUACUUUUUUUCCCUUUUACCUACAAGUAAGCCUUAAAGCUGAUUUGCCUUUGUUUCCUCUUUCUUAGUCCUCCUUUCAGGAACUUUUUAUUUAGGUAUCUAAGGAACUUCUGCAUGUAAGAUGUUGAAAACUGACUAUAGGCACAAGAUGUAAUAUCUUUUAGCUUGGGUUACGAUAAAUGAAGGAAAAUGCUGCACUGAAUGGUUUCAAGUUUUUUAAAAUCAUACCUUAAAUUGUUUACUAUACAGAGUACUAUACAUAUCUUAAAUUAUACUCUCAUUUAGAAUUGAAGGAUAAGUAAAGAG